rnacentral:tRNA from 1 species
GAAAUGUGUGAAUGAAAGCUGCUAACUUAUCAUUAUAGCGGUUAAAAUCCGUUUACAUUUCU